AGCCAUGUGGUGAGCACAAAGCGAACUAUUCUUUCGCCUUUUACUAAAGAAAUACCGUGCGCUCGCCACCCAUAGUGGCAUACGCCUAUUUUUGAAGAGUUGUUCAUUUUGGGCAACU
rfam:Daucus carota subsp. sativus cultivar DH1 chromosome 7, whole genome shotgun sequence.